GAACGGGUGAGUAACACGUAGGUAUCUGCCCUGAAGCGGGGGACAACUUCUGGAAACGGGAGCUAAUACCCCAUAGUCCGGCAACGGUAAAGAAUGAUUACAUUCGCUUUGGGAUGAGCCUGCGUUCUAUCAGCUUGUUGGUGAGGUAAUGGCUCACCAAGGCUACGACGGAUAGCCGGUCUGAGAGGAUGAUCGGUCACACUGGUACUGAGACACGGACCAGACUCC
rnacentral:rRNA from 1 species